rnacentral:rRNA from 1 species
GUUCUUCUGAUUGUAAAAUUCUUUUAAUUUAGGAAAAAAAAGCUUGAGAGGAAAAUGAUUAAGCCUUGAUUGUACUAAAUGAAUAAGUGACAGCUAACUAUGUGCCAGCAGCUGCGGUAAAACAUAGGUCACGAGCAUUAUCCGGAUUUAUUGGGCGUAAAGGAAGCGUAGGCGGACAAGUUGAUCUAUUGUGAAAGGCACUUGCUCAACGAGUUGUUUGUGAUAGAUAUCGUUUGUCUAGAAUUAGUUAGGAGAUACUGGAAUUCAAUGUGUAGCGGUGGAAUGCGUAGAUAUAUUGAGGAACACCAGAGGCUAAGGCGAGUAUCUAGGACAUAAUUGACGCUGAGGCUUGAAAGCGUGGGGAGCAAAUGGGAUUAGAUACCCCAGUAGUCCACGCCGUAAACGAUGGGUAUUAGGUAUUUGGUUUAGGACUGAGUGCUGUAGCUAACGCGUUAAAUACCCCGCCUGGGUAGUAUAUAUGCAAAUAUGAAACUCAAAGAAAUUGACGGGGACCUGAACAAGUGGUGGAGCAUGUUGCUUAAUUCGAUAAUACACGAAAAACCUUACCGAGGCUUGUAAUCUUUUGCGAAGCUAUAGAAAUAUAGUGAAGGUUAUCAAAAUGACAGGUGGUGCAUGGCUGUCGUCAGCUCGUGUCUUGAGAUGUUUGGUUAAGUCCCGUAACGAGCGCAACCCUACUCUUUAGUUAAUUAGUUCUAAAGUGACUGAAUCGUAAGAUAUAGGAAGGCUGGGGCCAAGUCAAGUCAUCAUGCCCCUUAUGCCUCGGGCUGCAAACGUGCUACAAUGGUAGGCAUAAUGUGUUGCAAUCUAGAAAUAGUGAGCUAAUCACCGAAAACCUAUCUCAGUCCGGAUAAAAGGCUGCAAUUCGCCUAUUUGAAGUUGGAAUCACUAGUAAUCCUGUGUCAGCUAUAUCAGGGUGAAUACGUUCCCAGGUCUUGUACAC